GAAAAUUUUUUUUGUCAAAAGCUGCUAACUUUUGAAAAACAUUUAUGUUAAUUUUCU
rnacentral:tRNA from 1 species